UGGCGAAAUUUGCCCGCUUCAAACUACUUACAAGUCGCAGAAUUGAAGUUUGAUCCAUCAAUUGUAAUCGGCUUUUUAAAACAUCAGUGUAAAAUAAUACCAUCGCGUUAUAAUGAAAUUGUUUAAAAGUUUUCUCAGUAUUUCCAUUUUUUUCGUAAUUUUUUUAAAAUGUGCACGUAUGACGAUCUAUGACGAUGAGGAAGAGCUACCGACUGAUGUCAAAGAACUGCAACAAAUAAUUCGGAAACAAUCAGAAGACAUUAAAUAUUUGAACGAAGUUGUACUAGGAGAAAUUCCAGUACCUCAUCGACGAACAGUGUUUAAUAAAAUGAAGGAAAUGGAUAAUAUGACUGAAGAGGGUAAGAUCUAGGAAUUCAACAACAGAAGUACUGGAGUUGAAGUGGAGCAAAUUCGAUACAUGUAUUUUCCGAAUACCAAAAAUCAAGGAUCUACUUUUAAAUUUCCUCAUCCGUUCUAUGUCAUUUCCAAAUCUGGGCAUCUUCUGGCCGGCAUUCCGAUUUCUAAGCAACCGAACUUAACAGAAAGAUAUAUUUCUGUCAAACUCAACGUAGCUGACUACAGGAGUUUCCUGUUACUAUCCCAGUUAGUACAAAUUGAUGAACGUCGGGAUUUAACUGUUGGAACUCUCCCGAUAUUUGAAAUUCCCACUGAAAAAGAAUAUGUCGAUUUCAAAAUAAACGAAUUUUAUGCCGGAUAUAAUUGGUACGGUACGCUACAAAACGUAUCCAAAUUUUACACUUAAUUUUCGCUUCGUUUCGAAGUACAUACUUUAUAAGUAUUCAAAAUAGAGUGAAAAUUAAAUGUAAAUGUGAGAUAUAUUUCACCAAAAUAUAUCUUACAUUUAUACAUUUAAUUUUCACUCUAUUUUGAAUACGUAUAAAGUAUGUACUUCGAAACAAAGCGAAAAUUAAAUAGUGUAAAAUUGGGAUAGGGUACAUUCAUAGCUAGCUUAAAAUUAAUUUAUUUUAUAGUCCAAGUAUUAUUUUUCCGUCCAUAUUUUAUUGGGAUUCCAGCGAGUAAGUGACCAUAAAGGGUAUUUAUAUAAAUAGGUUAGAGCCGAAUGAAAAUAUGUACCUUCAUCCACUAUCCUCGAAGAUUUGUCAUUUAUUGGAAAUUCUGCCGAAGAAUCGUUGUGUCGAAAUGAUUUCUGAAUUGAGAUUUCUUAAAUUUAGGACAUUGAUAUCGUUUGUUGUUAUUAUGCGUCUUUGUGUUAUUGAUUAAUAUUUUUUACUGCGUGUUUCUUAUGUAAGUAUUUUAAUAAAAUAA